UACAGAGGGGGCAAGCGUUAUUCGGAAUUAUUGGGCGUAAAGGGCGCGUAGGCGGCCUGGCAAGUGACGGGUGAAAGCCCUCGGCUUAACCGAGGAACUGCCUGUCAGACUGUUAGGCUUGAGACCGGGAGAGGUGAGUGGAAUUCCCAGUGUAGCGGUGAAAUGCGUAGAUAUCGGGAGGAACACCAGUGGCGAAGGCGACUACCUGGCCUGUUCUUGACGCUGAGGCGCGAAAGCUAGGGGAGCAAACGGG
rnacentral:rRNA from 1 species